rnacentral:sRNA from 1 species
UAAAAUAAUUAAGCAUUCCAAAGACAGCAGGUGCAUAUAUUGCAUAAAUCCUGCCGAGGAACUGGCAUAAUUUGUUUUUAGUUGAUUACUGCCCGUAUCCUCAUUUGGAUGCGGGCAUUUAGUUUU